GAUGAACGCUGGCGGCGUGCCUCAAACAUGCAAGUCGAGCGAGGCUAUGAAUUACCGCAAGGUAAGGCAUAGCCUAGCGGCGAACGGGUGAGUAACACGUGGGUAACCUACCUGGAAGACAGGGAUAACGAUUCGAAAGGGUCGCUAAUACCUGAUAAUAUCCGUCUGCCGGAUGGCGGAGGGAAGAAAGGGGAAACCCGCUUUCAGAUGGGCCCGCGUCCCAUCAGCUAGUUGGUAAGGUAAAGGCUUACCAAGGCGACGACGGGUAGCCGGUCUGAGAGGAUGUACGGCCACACUGGGACUGAGAUACGGCCCAGACUCCUACGGGAGGCAGCAGUUGGGAAUCUUAGGCAAUGGACGAAAGUCUGACCUAGCGACGCCGCGUGAGGGAAGAAGGCCUUCGGGUUGUAAACCUCUGUCAUGGGGGAAGAAGGAAGUGACGGUACCCCAAGGAGGAAGCCCCUGCUAACUACGUG
rnacentral:rRNA from 1 species